rnacentral:lncRNA from 1 species
CUCCGCACUGCUCACUCCCGCGCAGUGAGGUUGGCACAGCCACCGCUCUGUGGCUCGCUUGGUUCCCUUAGUCCCGAGCGCUCGCCCACUGCAGAUUCCUUUCCCGUGCAGACAUGGCCUCUGGCACCACCACCACCGCCGUGAAGAUUGGAAUAAUUGGUGGAACAGGCCUGGAUGAUCCAGAAAUUUUAGAAGGAAGAACUGAAAAAUAUGUGGAUACUCCAUUUGGCAAGCCAUCUGAUGCCUUAAUUUUGGGGAAGAUAAAAAAUGUUGAUUGCGUCCUCCUUGCAAGGCAUGGAAGGCAGCACACCAUCAUGCCUUCAAAGGUCAACUACCAGGCGAACAUCUGGGCUUUGAAGGAAGAGGGCUGUACACAUGUCAUAGUGACCACAGCUUGUGGCUCCUUGAGGGAGGAGAUUCAGCCCGGCGAUAUUGUCAUUAUUGAUCAGUUCAUUGACAGGACUAUUUGCCACGACAUUUCAAAGGAUUCCAAGAGAGAAUAUUGGUGUCCAUGCUGUGAUGAUUCCUCAGCUCCUCUCAUCUGAUCUCCGUCCUGGCCCCCAUGACUUUCUUUGUGGUAGUUAGGGUGUGGUAUGUGCCACUGAGGCCCACACCUAUUGCU